rnacentral:rRNA from 1 species
GACGAACGCUGGCGGCGUGCUUAACACAUGCAAGUCGAACGGAAAGGCCCUGCUUUUGUGGGGUGCUCGAGUGGCGAACGGGUGAGUAACACGUGAGUAACCUGCCCUUGACUUUGGGAUAACUUCAGGAAACUGGGGCUAAUACCGGAUAGGAGCUCCUGCUGCAUGGUGGGGGUUGGAAAGUUUCGGCGGCUGGGGAUGGACUCGCGGCUUAUCAGCUUGUUGGUGGGGUAGUGGCUUACCAAGGCUUUGACGGGUAGCCGGCCUGAGAGGGUGACCGGCCACAUUGGGACUGAGAUACGGCCCAGACUCCUACGGGAGGCAGCAGUGGGGAAUAUUGCACAAUGGACGGAAGCCUGAUGCAGCAACGCCGCGUGCGGGAUGACGGCCUUCGGGUUGUAAACCGCUUUCGCCUGUGACGAAGCGUGAGUGACGGUAAUGGGUAAAGAAGCACCGGCUAACUACGUG